UUGAACGCUGGCGGCAGGCCUAACACAUGCAAGUCGAGCGGUAGCACAGAGAGCUUGCUCUCGGGUGACGAGCGGCGGACGGGUGAGUAAUGUCUGGGAAACUGCCUGAUGGAGGGGGAUAACUACUGGAAACGGUAGCUAAUACCGCAUAAUGUCGCAAGACCAAAGUGGGGGACCUUCGGGCCUCAUGCCAUCAGAUGUGCCCAGAUGGGAUUAGCUAGUAGGUGGGGUAACGGCUCACCUAGGCGACGAUCCCUAGCUGGUCUGAGAGGAUGACCAGCCACACUGGAACUGAGACACGGUCCAGACUCCUACGGGAGGCAGCAGUGGGGAAUAUUGCACAAUGGGCGCAAGCCUGAUGCAGCCAUGCCGCGUGUGUGAAGAAGGCCUUCGGGUUGUAAAGCACUUUCAGCGGGGAGGAAGGCGGUGAGGUUAAUAACCUCAUCGAUUGACGUUACCCGCAGAAGAAGCACCGGCUAACUCCGUGCCAGCAGCCGCGGUAAUACGGAGGGUGCAAGCGUUAAUCGGAAUUACUGGGCGUAAAGCGCACGCAGGCGGUCUGUCAAGUCGGAUGUGAAAUCCCCGGGCUCAACCUGGGAACUGCAUUCGAAACUGGCAGGCUAGAGUCUUGUAGAGGGGGGUAGAAUUCCAGGUGUAGCGGUGAAAUGCGUAGAGAUCUGGAGGAAUACCGGUGGCGAAGGCGGCCCCCUGGACAAAGACUGACGCUUAGGUGCGAAAGCGUGGGGAGCAAACAGGAUUAGAUACCCUGGUAGUCCACGCCGUAAACGAUGUCGAUUUGGAGGUUGUGCCCUUGAGGCGUGGCUUCCGGAGCUAACGCGUUAAAUCGACCGCCUGGGGAGUACGGCCGCAAGGUUAAAACUCAAAUGAAUUGACGGGGGCCCGCACAAGCGGUGGAGCAUGUGGUUUAAUUCGAUGCAACGCGAAGAACCUUACCUGGUCUUGACAUCCACAGAACUUUCCAGAGAUGGAUUGGUGCCUUCGGGAACUGUGAGACAGGUGCUGCAUGGCUGUCGUCAGCUCGUGUUGUGAAAUGUUGGGUUAAGUCCCGCAACGAGCGCAACCCUUAUCCUUUGUUGCCAGCGGUUAGGCCGGGAACUCAAAGGAGACUGCCAGUGAUAAACUGGAGGAAGGUGGGGAUGACGUCAAGUCAUCAUGGCCCUUACGACCAGGGCUACACACGUGCUACAAUGGCAUAUACAAAGAGAAGCGACCUCGCGAGAGCAAGCGGACCUCAUAAAGUAUGUCGUAGUCCGGAUUGGAGUCUGCAACUCGACUCCAUGAAGUCGGAAUCGCUAGUAAUCGUAGAUCAGAAUGCUACGGUGAAUACGUUCCCGGGCCUUGUACACACCGCCCGUCACACCAUGGGAGUGGGUUGCAAAAGAAGUAGGUAGCUUAACCUUCGGGAGGGCGCUUACCACUUUGUGAUUCAUGACUGGGGUG
rnacentral:rRNA from 1 species